rnacentral:rRNA from 1 species
UACGUAGGUUGCGAGCGUUGUUCGGAAUUAUUGGGCGUAAAGAGCUCGUAGGCGGUCUGUCGCGUCGGAUGUGAAAACCCAGGGCUCAACCCUGGGCCUGCAUUCGAUACGGGCAGACUAGAGUGUGGCAGGGGAGACUGGAAUUCCUGGUGUAGCGGUGAAAUGCGCAGAUAUCAGGAGGAACACCGGUGGCGAAGGCGGGUCUCUGGGCCAAUACUGACGCUGAGGAGCGAAAGCGUGGGGAGCGAACAGG